AACGAACGCUGGCGGCAGGCUUAACACAUGCAAGUCGAACGAGAUCUUCGGAUCUAGUGGCAGACGGGUGAGGAACACGUGGGAACAUCCCUUUCAGUUCGGAAUAACGUUGGGAAACUAACGCUAAUACCGGAUACGUCCUUCGGGAGAAAGAUUUAUCGCUGAAAGAUUGGCCCGCGUCUGAUUAGCUAGUUGGUGAGGUAAUGGCUCACCAAGGCUACGAUCAGUAGCUGAUCUGAGAGGAUGAUCAGCCACAUUGGGACUGAGACACGGCCCAAACUCCUACGGGAGGCAGCAGUGGGGAAUAUUGGACAAUGGGCGCAAGCCUGAUCCAGCCAUGCCGCGUGAGUGAUGACGGCCUUCGGGUUGUAAAGCUCUUUUGUCCGGGAAGAUAAUGACUGUACCGGAAGAAUAAGCCCCGGCAAACUUCGUGCCAGCAGCCGCAGUAA
rnacentral:rRNA from 1 species